rnacentral:lncRNA from 1 species
AUACUUGGAGGCCAUGUCACCUGAGAGUCAAUGGGCAACGAUCAAAUUUCACCUUGAGCAGAUUCUUUUGUUUGCUUUUUAGUCACAAAUAGCUUGGCCCUAAGUGGUGGCUCCCAUUCUUGUAAGAUGCGUUUAUUCAUCGUGUAAUCACCAGUUCCCUGUAGUGGGGGCGUGGAUGGAGUGUCAGAGGCUCCUGCUGGUCUUUAGGGUGUCUGGCCUCCAGGAAUCCUAGAGUAAAUUGGGAACUACAGCACUCGAUGUUAGAGUUGUCGUGAAGAUUAAAGAAGGUGACGACUGGACAACUCCCAGCCCAAUACCUGAAACUGUACCAGCACCCAGUGAGCACUGCUAUUCCUGUGACUGCUGCACAUUUGCCUUAUCUCAGCAGUAUGCCUGUGUCACUUUUUUGGCACUCUUUUCUCAUGGGUACAUUCAGAGAAGAGGAAUGUUUGUUCACUGGUGAAGAGAACAUCCCGUGUACUAUCGUGUAGAAGUUGUAGUAGACGCUGUGGUCUUUCCAACAACAAACAAAGGCUGAGAGCUCCAAGGAGCUGUGAAUCACACCUCCGACUCCCCCCAGGGUACAGGAACGGGGUUCAGAAUGCUCUUCCCAAAGCUGCUGGGACAGGACCCAGGAGGUUCCGGAGGAUCAGGAGGUCCACCUGGGAGAAGAGCUGAUCGGCUAGUAGGAGAGCUGGAAAAGCAACAGACACCUACUUAGUCCCUUCCCUGGGGCCCGGCUCCAGUCUGAGCUGUCACGCCACAGCAAAGGCAUCACUUCAGGACAGCAAAGCCCCUGUCUCCCUCCCUUCCAGCUCCUCAGACUUCACCCUGGUAACACGUUUGUUUAAAAAACAUAUUUUUCCCCCUUGUAAAGAAUCUAGGAUACAAGGGGUCAGCCCAGCAGUUUAGGUAUCAAGAAGAAACUGCUCUCGGAGCUAAAGUAAGAAACAGUGCCUGUCUAUAGCGCAAAUAAAGAGUUGGAACAAGAUAAAA